rnacentral:lncRNA from 1 species
UGGGCAUUAUCUGCAACAUGAAUCUCUUAGCAUUUCAAAUUAAUAUUCCUUUCGGACCAACUUUGUUAAAAGAGUAAUGCUGCAAACACACCGUUUAGGCACAAAAGGUCACAGUCCUGCACAAUAUUCCUUUGGUGGUGCAGCUGGGUCAACUAUUCAAUUGAAUGAUAUUGGGCAUGUUUCCCAUUUCUUCUAUAGAAACAAGUGGACUAUUUCUUUACAAAUUGUGCUCAUUUUCAUAUGUAGCAAUUCUGCCUAGAUCUCAGGUUCAUAAAUACCAUCAAUAUCUACCAGAGAAGAAGCAACAAAAGUGAUAAUAAAUAUAGAAGUUGCGGGUGUGUCAAAGCAAAGCCCUGUGUGCAGGGUUAUCUAACAAUUGAGAGUGGGUAUAUAUGUGCAUGUGUAUAUGUAUGAG